CUAAGGCGAGGCCGACAGGCGUAGUCGAUGGACAACCAGUUGAUAUUCUGGUACCGCGUUAUGACCGCCCAUGCUGAAGUCAUUGUGCUAACCAAUCUGCCCGCGCACCCUUGUGGCUUUCGGGCUGCGAGCGUGUGUGUGGGUCUUGGGGUCCCGGUGAUGGUAGGCAAGCGUGUUAACAGGGGUGACGCAGACAGGUAGCUGCAGUGCGCCGAUGGUUGUGCGUAUUUAAGGUUGUGGCCCGCCGCCCAGGUAAAUCCGGGUGGCACGAGGGGUGAGAACUGAUGAGGGACACACGCGUGUGUGGACUUGUGGUGAUCCUAUGCUGCCGAGAAAAGCCUCGACGUGAGGGCAUGACGCGCCCGUACCCUAAACCGACUCAGGUGGUCAGGUAGAGUAUACCGAGGCGUUCGAGUGAAUCGUGGUUAAGGAACUCGGCAAAAUUCCUCCGUAACUUCGGGAUAAGGAGGACCCCGUGACUUCCCCACACCGUGCGUGUGGGUGGGGUUGUGGGGUCGCAGAGAAUAGGGAGAAGCGACUGUUUAUCAAAAACACAGGUGCGUGCGAAGCCGUAAGGCGAUGUAUACGCACUGACGCCUGCCCGGUGCUGGAAGGUUAAGAGGAACCGUUAACACUCCUUUGUGGGUGUGAAGCGGUGAAUUUAAGCCCCAGUAAACGGCGGUGGUAACUAUAACCAUCCUAAGGUAGCGAAAUUCCUUGUCGGGUAAGUUCCGACCUGCACGAAUGGCGUAACGACUUCUCCGCUGUCUCAACCGCGAACUCGGUGAAAUUGCAGUACGAGUAAAGAUGCUCGUUUCGCGCAGAAGGACGGAAAGACCCCGGGACCUUUACUAUAGCUUGGUAUUGGUGUUCGCUUGGACUUGUGUAGGAUAGGUGGGAGACUGUGAAGCUGCCGCGCCAGCGGUGGUGGAGUCGUCGUUGAAAUACCAUUCUGGUUCAAGCGGUCACCUCAACCUUGGCCCGUGAUCCGGGUUGGGGACAGUGCCUGGUGGGUAGUUUAACUGGGGCGGUUGCCUCCUAAAAUGUAACGGAGGCGCUCAAAGGUUCCCUCAGCCUGGUUGGUAAUCAGGUGGCGAGUGCAAGUGUACAAGGGAGCUUGACUGUGAGACCGACGGGUCGAGCAGGUGCGAAAGCAGGAACUAGUGAUCCGGCCAUGGCACGUGGGUGCGUGGUCGCUCAACGGAUAAAAGGUACCCCGGGGAUAACAGGCUGAUCUUGCCCAAGAGUCCAUAUCGACGGCAUGGUUUGGCACCUCGAUGUCGGCUCGUCGC
rnacentral:rRNA from 1 species